rnacentral:rRNA from 1 species
AACGAACGCUGGCGGCAUGCCUAACACAUGCAAGUCGAACGAGACCUUCGGGCCUAGUGGCGCACGGGUGCGUAACGCGUGGGAACCUGCCCUUGGGUUCGGAAUAACUCCCCGAAAGGGGUGCUAAUACCGGAUAAUGUCUUCGGACCAAAGAUUUAUCGCCUUUGGAUGGGCCCGGGUUGGAUUAGCUAGUUGGUAGGGUAAAAGCCUACCAAGGCGACGAUCCAUAGCUGGUCUGAGAGGAUGAUAAGCCACACUGGGACUGAGACACGGCCCAGACUCCUACGGGAGGGAGCAGUGGGGAAUAUUAGACAAUGGGCGAAAGCCUGAUCCAGCAAUGCCGCGUAAGUGAUGAAGGCCUUAGGGUUGUAAAGCUCUUUUACCCGGGAUGAUAAUGACAGUACCGGGAGAAUAAGCUCCGGCUAACUCCGUG